rnacentral:rRNA from 1 species
GACGAACGCUGGCGGCGUGCUUAACACAUGCAAGUCGAACGGAAAGGCCUGCUUUCCCUUGUGGAUUGCGGGUACUCGCGUGGCGAACGGGUGAGUAACACGUGAGUGAUCUGCCCCCAACUUGGGUAUAAGCCUGGGAAACUGGGUCUAAUUCCCGAUAGGACUGCAGGGUGGUGCCUGUGGUGGAAAACGAUUUUCUAGUGGUUGGGGAUGAGCUCGCGGCCUAUCAGCUUGUUGGUGGGGUAAUGGCCUACCAAGGCGGCGACGGGUAGCCGGCCUGAGAGGGUGGACGGCCACAUUGGGACUGAGAUACGGCCCAGACUCCUACGGGAGGCAGCAGUGGGGAAUAGUGCACAAUGGGCGGAAGCCUGAUGCAGCGACGCCGCGUGGGGGAUGACGGCCUUCGGGUUGUAAACUCCUUUCGACCGCGAGGAAGCCACCUGGUUGGAAGGGUGGUGACGGUAGUGGUAGAAGAAGCACCGGCUAACUACGU